CACGUAGGGGCCAAGCGUUGUCCGGAUUUAUUGGGCGUAAAGAGCUCGUAGGCGGUUUGUUGCGUCGGCUGUGAAAUCCCGAGGCUCAACCUCGGGUCUGCAGUCGAUACGAGCAAACUAGAGUGUUGCAGGGGAGACUGGAAUUCCUGGUGUAGCGGUGAAAUGCGCAGAUAUCAGGAGGAACACCGGUGGCGAAGGCGGGUCUCUGGGCAACAACUGACGCUGAGGAGCGAAAGCGUGGGGAGCGAACAGG
rnacentral:rRNA from 1 species